UACAGGGGGUGCAAACGUUGCUCGGAAUCAUUGGGCGUAAAGCGCACGUAGGCGGUCUGUUAUGUCGGAUGUGAAAGCCCUUGGCUCAACUGAGGAAGUGCAUCCGAAACUGGCAGGCUAGAGUACGAAAGAGGAUCGCGGAAUUCCCGGUGUAGAGGUGAAAUUCGUAGAUAUCGGGAGGACACCGGUGGCGAAGGCGGCGACCUGGGUCGAGACUGACGGCUGAGGCGCGAAAGCGUGGGGAGCAAACAGG
rnacentral:rRNA from 1 species